rnacentral:rRNA from 1 species
CAAUAGCGUAUAUUAAAGUUGUUGCAGUUAAAAAGCUCGUAGUUGGAUUUCUGCUGAGAACGACCGGUCCGCCCUCUGGGUGUGUAUCUGGCUCUUUCUUGGCAUCUUCUUGGUGAACGUUGCUGCACUUGACUGUGUGGAGCGCUACCCAGGACUUUUACUUUGAGGAAAUUAGAGUGUUUCAAGCAGGCAUACGCCUUGAAUACAUUAGCAUGGAAUAAUAAGAUAGGACCUCGGUUCUAUUUUGUUGGUCUCUAGAGCUGAGGUAAUGAUUAAUAGGGAUAGUUGGGGGCAUUCGUAUUUAACUGUCAGAGGUGAAAUUCUUGGAUUUGUUAAAGACGGACUACUGCGAANGNAUUUGCNAAGGAUGUUUNCAUUG